rnacentral:rRNA from 1 species
CCUAACACAUGCAAGUCGAGCGAGACCUUCGGGUCUAGCGGCGGACGGGUUAGUAACGCGUGGGAACGUGCCCUUCUCUGCGGAAUAGCCACUGGAAACGGUGAGUAAUACCGCAUACGCCCUUCGGGGGAAAGAUUUAUCGGAGAAGGAUCGGCCCGCGUUAGAUUAGAUAGUUGGUGGGUAACGGCCUACCAAGUCUACGAUCUAUAGCUGGUUUUAGAGGAUGAUCAGCAACACUGGGACUGAGACACGGCCCAGACUCCUACGGGAGGCAGCAGUGGGGAAUCUUAGACAAUGGGGCGCAAGCCUGAUCUAGCCAUGCCGCGUGUGUGAUGAAGGUCUUAGGAUCGUAAAGCACUUUCGCCAGGGAUGAUAAUGACAGUACCUGGUAAAGAAACCCCGGCUAACUCCGUG